CCGCCGCAUCUGCAUCAUUUUCUGCUGCUGCUGUCAUGAGCUACCGCAUAUCUGGAGGCUGGCACAGCACGGGGACCCUGGGACCCUGGGGCUGCACUGGUCUGCCCGAACUCAGAGGCCCUUCGUCAGACCUGUGGCUCCCGAGAGCCUCUGGUCAGGAGGGGCUUUGUCUUCUCCCGGGGCCUCAGCGGCUCUCGUGAGGAGGUCCCGCUGGUGGGAAGUGAAACUUCCAGGAGAGCACACAAGGUUCGGAGACCCAAGGGCACCACAGCGGAUGUUUUCAGGAGCCAGAGGCGCUUUGUAAACCCAGGCUGGGCUCUGGACUGAAAGAACUGUCUCUGAGGGACAGCCAGCUGUGGCACCGCCGAGGACUUGAGUACGGGCCGUGCCCCGGGCAGUGUGACCGCCAGGCCCACAUCCAGCUGUGUGUGUCAGACCUGCGGUUCCAGCCCCAACACUGGGAUGGAGACUCCUUAAUUUCAAAAAGGCUCUCUUCCAACACGGUCGCCUUGCUCAGCUGCAGUACAGAGCCACCAUGGCCAGCAUAGGGAGAUCACCAC